GGAUCUAUAGCUCAGCUGGUUAGAGCACUCGGCUCAUAACCGAGUGGUCAUUGGUUCGAAUCCAAUUAGAUCCACCA
rnacentral:tRNA from 1 species